CGGACCCAGCUCGGUUCCUGGACUGUCCGGGCGGCAGCGGACGCCGCCGCCGCCGCCUCCCCGUCGCCUCCGCCGGGCGUUUUGUUCCCGGAGCCCCGAGAGGCGAGCGGAGCUGACAGUGAUUUUGACAGUGAUUUCAACCCGCUUUUGUUGUUGUUGGCUUCUCGUUGUUCGGUUUUGUGUGUUGUGCGUGUGUGUGGCGGUUUUAUUUUUUUAAACCCUGUGGUACAUUUUUUUUUAUUGUUGUGGUUUUUUUCCCCUCCUAAUUUUUUUUAAGCCCCGUGAACGUGUUUUUUUUUUUCUUUUAAUUUCUUCCCUUUCUGCUCGGGGCUUCCGAAUAUGUUUUAUGACGGUUGAUUUUACACCAGGAGGUUUGUCUCCCGGGAAGACCCAGGGAACUGGAUAUCUAGCGAGAACUUCCUGCGGAUCCCCCGGCGCCUCGGGAAGAUGGGAGCUGCUGCAAAGUUGGCGUUCGCCGUCUUUCUCAUCUCCUGCUCGUCAGGAGCUAUACUUGGUAGAUCAGAAACCCAGGAGUGUCUCUUCUUUAAUGCAAAUUGGGAAAGAGACAGGACCAAUCAAACUGGUGUUGAACCUUGUUAUGGUGACAAAGAUAAACGGCGGCAUUGUUUUGCUACAUGGAAGAACAUUUCUGGUUCCAUUGAAAUAGUGAAACAAGGUUGUUGGCUGGAUGACAUCAAUUGCUAUGACAGGAGUGAUUGUAUAGAAAAAAAAGACAGCCCUGAAGUAUAUUUUUGUUGCUGUGAGGGCAAUAUGUGUAAUGAAAAGUUUUCUUAUUUUCCUGAGAUGGAAGUCACACAGCCCACUUCAAAUCCAGUUACACCUAAGCCACCCUAUUACAACAUCCUGCUCUAUUCCUUGGUGCCACUCAUGUUAAUUGCAGGGAUUGUCAUUUGUGCAUUUUGGGUAUACAGACAUCACAAGAUGGCCUACCCUCCUGUACUUGUUCCUACUCAACACGCCUUUCAUAUAAUGAUAGAGGACCCAGGACCACCUCCACCUUCUCCAUUACUAGGUUUGAAACCACUGCAGUUAUUAGAAGUGAAAGCAAGGGGAAGAUUUGGUUGUGUCUGGAAAGCCCAAUUGCUCAAUGAAUAUGUGGCUGUCAAGAUAUUUCCAAUGCAGGACAAACAAUCAUGGCAGAAUGAAUAUGAAGUCUAUAGUUUACCUGGAAUGAAGCAUGAGAAUAUAUUACAGUUCAUUGGUGCAGAAAAACGAGGCACCAGUGUUGAUGUAGAUCUUUGGCUAAUCACAGCAUUUCAUGAAAAGGGUUCAUUAUCAGACUUUCUUAAGGCAAAUGUGGUCUCUUGGAAUGAACUAUGUCAUAUUGCAGAAACCAUGGCUAGAGGAUUGGCAUAUUUACAUGAGGACAUACCUGGGUUAAAAGAUGGCCACAAGCCGGCGAUAUCUCACAGGGACAUCAAAAGUAAAAAUGUGCUGUUGAAAAACAACCUGACAGCUUGCAUUGCUGACUUUGGGUUGGCAUUAAAGUUUGAGGCUGGCAAGUCUGCAGGCGAUACUCAUGGACAGGUUGGUACCCGGAGGUAUAUGGCUCCAGAGGUAUUAGAGGGUGCUAUAAACUUCCAAAGGGAUGCAUUUUUGAGGAUAGAUAUGUACGCCAUGGGAUUAGUCCUAUGGGAACUGGCUUCUCGCUGUACUGCUGCAGAUGGACCUGUAGAUGAGUACAUGUUGCCAUUUGAGGAGGAAAUUGGCCAGCACCCAUCUCUUGAAGACAUGCAGGAAGUUGUUGUACAUAAAAAAAAGAGGCCUGUUUUAAGAGAUUAUUGGCAGAAACAUGCAGGAAUGGCAAUGCUUUGUGAAACAAUAGAAGAAUGUUGGGAUCAUGAUGCAGAAGCCAGAUUAUCAGCUGGAUGUGUAGGUGAAAGAAUUACACAGAUGCAAAGACUAACAAAUAUCAUUACCACAGAGGACAUUGUAACAGUGGUCACGAUGGUGACAAAUGUUGACUUUCCUCCCAAAGAAUCUAGUCUAUGAUGGUCGCACCAUCUGUACACACUGAGAAUUGAGACUCUGAACUGGAGCUGCUAAGCUAACAAAACAGUUUUCCGUGCGAAGAGUGGGAUGCCUCCUGGAAAUAUAAGAAAACAGCCUUUUGUUGAAAAACAUGGCUCUGGGAGAUUUACUGCAUUGCCUGUGGCACAGAUGUGAAGGACUUGACAUAAGAGGAAAGUUACGAACUCUGUAAUGGAACUUUUAAAAAAAAGUAUACAUGAAGAAUGUGGCCCUCUCCAAAACAAGGAUCUUUUGGAUCUGGCUAAUCAAGUGUUUGAAAACUGACAUCAGAUUUCUUAAUGUCUGUCAGAAGACACUAAUUCCUUAAAUGAACUACUGCUAUUUUUUUUUAAAUCAAAAAUUUUCAUUUCAGAUUCUAAAAAGGGUACCUUGUGAAUUCCAGAACAGAAGAGACUGUGCCUCACAAUUAUUGGUCCUAUGAACUUGCACUAUCUUUUAUGGUGACAUUUUGGAAAUACAAUCAGGAAAAAUAUCCACCGCCACUGGAAUUUAAAAAUGGAAUCAUGUAUCACAAAAUAAUGAAAACAGCAUCUUUUCUGUACCUUUUCCUCACGGUUAAAUAGCCACAUUUGAGUAAAAUGCAAGUGGUCAGAUAGAUGGUAGUUUAGUGGACUAAUUUUUUUUUUAUGAAAAUGCUUCACCACAGAUAUUUACCAGUUUCUCUUUUUUACUUUUUUGAAAAUUACUUUUUAGGGACAUUUGGUAUAAUGUGCAUAAAGCUAUUUACAAUUUAUGGACAAAAUGAUACAAGUAGCAUCUUAAUUGAACAUACUUUACCUCAGAUAUUCAACCAGCAGUACAUUUUUUAUGCAGUCUCAACCCAUAUCCUAUUUGUUACCUCUUAAGAUAUUGGUAAGCAAUUAUUUUGAGUUUUACUUUGUAUUUCUUGUCAGUGUUUUGGGCACAGGUUGUUGUACUACUGUCAAAUUGUACUUGCUAUUUUUUUCUGCAAGUAUUUAACAGCUAAAAAAAAAGUCCCCAUUAAAUCCCACCUUGGAUAAGUGAUUGUUAAAUAUUGUACAAAUAAAAUGUAUGCUAUCCCCAUUCCAUCCCCAAGUUAAAUAAAAAAUGAGUAUGGUAUUUGCA